rnacentral:rRNA from 1 species
CACGUAGGGCGCAAGCGUUGUCCGGAAUUAUUGGGCGUAAAGAGCUCGUAGGCGGUCUGUUGCGUCCGCUGUGAAAACUCGGGGCUUAACCCCGAGCCUGCAGUGGAUACGGGCAGACUAGAGGUAGGUAGGGGAGAAUGGAAUUCCCGGUGUAGCGGUGAAAUGCGCAGAUAUCGGGAGGAACACCGGUGGCGAAGGCGGCUAUCUGGGCUGAAACUGACGCUGAGGCGCGAAGGCUAGGGGAGCAAACAGG